rnacentral:rRNA from 1 species
GGCGAACGCUGGCGGCGUGCUUAACACAUGCAAGUCGAACGGCAAGGCACUGGUUUUGGGGGGUGCGCGAGUGGCGAACGGGUGGGUAACAAGUGAGUAACCUGCCCUUGACUUUGGGAUAACUUCAGGAAACUAGGGCUAAUACUGGAUAGGAGCUCCUGCUGCAUGGAGGGGGUUGGAAAGGUUCGGCGGGUGGGGAUGGACGCGGGGCUUAUCAGCUUGUUGGUGGGGUAGUGGCUUACGAAGGCUUUGACGGGUAGACGGCCUGAGAGGGUGACCGGCGACAUUGGGACUGAGAGACGCACCAGACUGCUACGGUAGGCAGUAGUGGGGAAUAUUGCACAAUGGGCGGAAGCCUGAUGCAGCAACGCCGCGUGCGGGAUGAAGGCCUGCUGGUUGAAAACCGCUUUCGCCUAUUACGAAGCGUUAGUGACGGUAAUCGGUAAAGAAGCACCGGCUAACUACGUG